rnacentral:rRNA from 1 species
UGGGGAAUAUUGGACAAUGGGCGAAAGCCUGAUCCAGCCAUGCCGCGUGAGUGAUGAAGGCCCUAGGGUUGUAAAGCUCUUUUACCCGUGAAGAUAAUGACGGUAGCGGGAGAAUAAGCUCCGGCUAACUCCGUGCCAGCAGCCGCGGUAAUACGGAGGGAGCUAGCGUUGUUCGGAAUUACUGGGCGUAAAGCGCACGUAGGCGGCCAUUCAAGUCAGAGGUGAAAGCCCGGGGCUCAACCCCGGAACUGCCUUUGAAACUAAAUGGCUAGAAUCUUGGAGAGGCGAGUGGAAUUCCGAGUGUAGAGGUGAAAUUCGUAGAUAUUCGGAAGAACACCAGUGGCGAAGGCGACUCGCUGGACAAGUAUUGACGCUGAGGUGCGAAAGCGUGGGGAGCAAACAGGAUUAGAUACCCCCGUAGUCC